rnacentral:rRNA from 1 species
UGAGUAACGCGUGGGUAACCUGCCCUAAAGCCCGGGAUAACAGCGGGAAACCGCUGCUAAUACCGGAUACCUUUACCCUGGGGCAUCCUGGGGUAAAGAAAGAAUUUCGCUUUAGGAUGGGCCCGCGUCCCAUUAGCUAGUUGGUGAGGUAACGGCUCACCAAGGCGACCAUGGGUAGCCGGCCUGAGAGGGUGAACGGCCACACUGGGACUGAGACACGGCCCAGACUCCUACGGGAGGCAGCAGUAGGGAAUAUUGCGCAAUGGGCGAAAGCCUGACGCAGCGACGCCGCGUGAGCGAAGAAGGCCUUCGGGUCGUAAAGCUCUGUCCUCAGGGAAGAAGGAAGUGACGGUACCUGAGGAGGAAGCCCCGGCUAACUACGUGCCAGCAGCCGCGGUAAUACGUAGGGGGCGAGCGUUGUCCGGAAUUACUGGGCGUAAAGGGUGCGUAGGCGGCCUCUUAAGUCAGAUGUGAA